rnacentral:rRNA from 1 species
UACAGAGGUCCCGAGCGUUGUUCGGAUUCAUUGGGCGUAAAGGGUGUGUAGGCGGACUAUUAAGUCAGUGGUGAAAUCCCGAGGCUCAACCUCGGAACUGCCUUUGAUACUAUUAGUCUUGAAUGUUGUUGAGGUGGGCGGAACGGGUCAUGUAGCGGUGAAAUGCAUAGAUAUGACCCGGAACACCGAUUGCGAAGGCAGCCCGCUAAGCAACCUAUUGACGCUGAGGCACGAAAGCGUGGGGAUCAAACAGG